rnacentral:rRNA from 1 species
AUUGAACGCUGGCGGCAGGCCUAACACAUGCAAGUCGAGCGGAGCGGCGGAGGGGUGAGUAAUACAUAGGAAUCUGCCUGGUAGUGGGGGAUAACGUUAGGAAAUGGGCGCUAAUACCGCCUCCUCUCAGCUGAGCAUAGGUCGGAUUAGCUAGUGGGGGGGGUAAAGGCCUACCAAGGCGACGAUCCCUACCUGGUCUGAGAGGAUGAGCAGUCACACUGGAACUUAGACACGGUCCAGACUCCUACGGGAGGCAGCAGUGGGGAAUAUUGGACAAUGGGCGAAAGCCUGAUGCAGCCAUGCCGCGUGUGUGAAGAAGGUCUUCGGAUUGUAAAGCACUUUAAGUCGGGAGGCGUUACCAACAGAAUAAGCACCGGCUAACUUCGUGCCAGCAGCCGCGGUAAUAC